ensembl:misc_RNA Metazoa_SRP Metazoan signal recognition particle RNA
GCUGGGCAUGGUGGCGUGUGCCUGUAAUCCCAGCUACUCAGGAGGCUGAGGCAGGAGAAUUGCUUGAACCCAGGAGGCAGAGGUUGCAGUGAGCCGAGAUCACGCCACUGCACUCCCGCCUGGGUAACAAGAGCAAAACUCUGUCUCAA